CAAAAACAUUGCUUUUUAUAUUUAAUAAAAAGUAUGGUCUGCCCAGUGAGUAAUUUUAACGGCCGCAAUAUUUGUGCGAAGGUAGCAUAAUCAUUUGUCUUUUAAUUGAUGACUGGAAUGAAUGGCUGGACGGAGAAAAGCUGUCUCUUUUAUAUUUUUUAAAAAUUUACUUUCAAGUUAAAAGGCUUGAAUAAUAUAGAGGGACGAGAAGACCCUAUUGAGUUUUAUAGCUAAACUUCAAAUUUUUCUUUAAUUUUAAAUAAUAGCUAUUUAGUUGGGGUGACUUUAUAAUAAAAUCUAUAUUAGAAUUAAUAGACAUUAAGUUAUUAGGAUCCAUAAUUUAUGAUAAAUAGAUUAAAUUACCUUAGGGAUAACAGCGUAAUAUUUUUUUAGAGUUCAAAUCGAUUAAAAUGCUUACGACCUCGAUGUUGGAUUAAAGAACCUAAUUUGGAGAAGAAGCUAAUUUAGGUAGUCUGUUCGACUAUUAAAUCUUUAC
rnacentral:rRNA from 1 species